GACUCGGUUUCAGUUUCUAACACCCACAUCUAGUGGCUAACAACUACUGGUAACCCCAGUUCCAGGACAUCCAACACUGGAAAGGCACGGUGCUUACAAACACAAACCCCUCCCCCCUCAAUACAUGAGACUCUGUGCUCACAAGCACCCUCCAUUCCCCCCAACACACAAGACAAUGUGCUCAUAAGCACACAUCAUCUCCCCCACAUACGUGGCAACAAGCUCACAAGCAUGUGUCAUUCCCCCAAACACACAUACAAUCAAAAAUAAUAAAAACAACCUUUUUUAAAAAGAAGCAUCAACAAACUGACCAUAGAAAACUUUCAGACGGAUAACAGCCACUAGAUUUUCUCACUUGUAAAGAGAGAGAUGCUGUUGACAAACUGGGGCAUGAGUGGGUGUUUUUCAUCUCUUGAUUGGUGCCCUGAGAGCACUGAAGGGUCGCAACCAAGGCCCAAGGGUCUAGAGGUAAAUACGUGCUACAGAAUUAUACUUCUGUCUUUUAUCUUUCUUUGUGUUUUCACAUAGUUAACAAAAUUAUUUAAGUUGUUUAGAAUGAUAAAACACCUUGUGUUAGCUUAAAUAACCAGUGCACAUCCCUAGCUUAAAUUUUCUUAGAAUCCCUUUAAGUCACAGUGAACUUGGACUGAGGACCCAACCUGUGGGACACCAUUCAUCAGAGGACACAAAGUCACUCUUUCUGCUCCGUAUCACAAUGAUCCACCAAAUGAACUCAUAACCCGCAGGCAGAGAUAGGAUCCAUCUUGCUGAGGCCCCUACUGGGCCCUAAACUUCCUGCUUGCUGUGCGUUUGGCUUGCAGGAUGCAGUUAUGCAUAUCUGUUUACUGGUGUUCUCUUAGCAUGAAACAACCACUUUCAGGUAUGUGUCGGGGACGUAAAUCCACGUUAUCAAAUCACUCCACCAAGUGGAUUUUUAACAAGCCAAUUCAAGCUGUACAUGGGAGCCAAUGUUGAUCUAUGUGCAGGUACUACCUCUAAAAGAGCUUACAGACGGAUGCCGCUUGGCAAUUCUGUGGUUUCACGAUAACCCAAGCCUUUGUAGGCAUGUUGUCCUUAUUGAAGACCUCCGCCUUCAUGAUGUUAAUGCUUCUUCAAUUCUCUAAGCGCAUCCCUGUAACUCCAACCUGAAGCCUGCAUGUAUCUCCCAGAGUCCAACUACAAGCAAGCAGAGAGAAAUAGAAAGUGUUCCUGAGCUCAGGAAAUAAGGAAAUAGAAUAAUGAAAUGCGGCAUAUACUUCGUCUAUUCGUUUUACGAAACACUUAUGUCAACAAAUCUCUCACGCUUUUCGCUAAAAUUUAUCAUUUCAUAAAAUCUUUUCUGCUGAAGCCACCCUUCCUUGCCCAAACCUGCUCAGCCUGUCAGACCAGCCAAUCAACAUUAACCAAAGGUCACUCAACAUAAUUCAGUAUACUGGCCCUAGAUACUGACUUUCAUGGUAUGAAUGAAAUCCUCCCUCUUCCUUAAGAGCCCAAGGCAAACAUAGUAAGCAAGAACCUCCAUUUUAGGCUUCUUCCCAUAUGGAGAACUUAAGGUCACAGGUAGACAGACUAGCUGACCUGUUGGACCCUGAACUUACUACACAGAUUCGUAAUGGCUCUACCCUGUUCCUUGUGUUUUAACUAUAAACAAGGUGCUUAAAGGGACCAUGACACAGCUUUAGAAGGUCCUGAAGAGCAGGGGUGAGGUCAGGGCCUAUGUCAUUGCUGUAGGGAUAAGAAUAGAGCGAUCUUCCCACUUGGGCGAAUUAACCAAACUGAGAGCAAGUCUAUUUCAGCCAUGAAGUGUGGGCACGUGUCUGGAGACACGGCUUUGAUACAGUGAAGCCCGUAAUAGUUCCCAGCUGUGGGAUGCUGAGACGCACGACCGUGGAAAUAUCUGUUAAUGGUGUUUGGGGAACCUGGCUCCUUAGUGAAAGGUGCCAUGCACGUGGCCUGUGAGUAGUUCCUCAGGUAGCACAGCCCCAACCGUGUGAGUCAGUUCGAGCACCACAGUUAGAUCAAGUUUGGGUGAAGACUCCUUGGAGGAUUAAAUCCCCACUUUGUAUAUUCAGAUAUCACAUAUUAACCUCCACAUUCACAAGCGAGUUCUGCACAGACAAACAACACUCACAGCCGUACAGGGACCUGGGCAGUUUCCACAGCCAUUGUUUCUGUCUCAAGAAAAAGUAUUUGUCAAUCUUCUGUUUGCAACUAGUCUACUCACUAUGCCAUGAGCACAUGCAAAUGAACCAGGCUUGCUCACCUACUGGCCUCUUUCCUUCUGUGUCCAACCUCUUACUCCCUCUACUAGGUCUCUGCUCUCACACAGUAAGAGUUACAUUCCUGCUGCCCCUUCCUCAACCCCACAGUACAUUCUUACCACUCUGUUUCUCUUCUUUUUAUAGUUAGAUACUUGAAACAUCAACGUUUGCUUGCCUUGUGUAUCUUGCCCAGUCUGGAACCUCAGACAACCCCUCUGUGUCUCCCACCAGCUCACCAAUCUGCCUCUGCAAAGUGACCCGGCCAGUUGCCAAGCUGAAUGGCCUCUGCUGAGCUGACUGGCUUCGUACUGAGCAUGCCAGGUGUCUUAUAUCCUUACUUUGGACACUCAUCACCUGUAGCCUCAGGGUUGCCUCAGAUGCCAAUUGGUUCAUGGGAUGCCUGUUUAUGUACUUCUGGAAUCUCUCUCAGGACUCUGCCAAAACCCCCAAACAGCGUCCAAAAGGCCACAUCUUUUACUGGUCAUCCACGAAUUGAAUGCAAACUAUGAAAAUAACACAGAACCCUCUAGCAAGAGAAUGAAGCUUCGGGUGGGUGGGCAUAGCAGAGAGAGCUCACAUACUUGAGGAGUAAAUGAGGAGAGGGAGUUCACAAUAAGACACAGAGAACAUUCAAGGAGAGAAAGCUUCCAGGGCUGGUAAACAGGCUAAGUGGAGAAAAUGCUGUAAGGAAAAAGAACAACCAAGUGUGUGAGGUGGGGAUUAAAAGCCGGUCCCAAAGCGAUCGAGGGAGGGCAGUAAUGAAACACAUCUGGGAAAGAGGAGAUCGGGAAUGGAUAUCCCAAGGGGCGGAGCUGCGACCAGCAAGUCUACACACGAAACGCGCAGGCCCAAGAACAGUCAGCCACACAAAGAUUAAAGAGGCAUUUUCACUAAGAGACGGAUAAAUUGGCUUCUCAACUGACAAUAACAAGACAUCAGCCAAAGUGUGGUAGAUCUGUGUUUCAUGUGUUGCUCUUAACAUUAAAACGGACGCAUCCUUUUAAAAGGAAAAGCUAAUUUUGCAGAAGAUGUAGCCAGAGCUUUGAUCUGUUACAUAUAUAUAUAUAUAUAUAUAUACAUAUAUAUAUAUAUAUAUAUAUAUGGGAAUCUAGCCUAAGAAACUAACCAAAAAUAUCUGUAGUCCCAAAACUGUUUAUUUUAGCAUUGUUUAUAAUUAUUAAAGGGGGGAGGGAAACCCUUGGGGGUAAAAAAAAAAGGAAUCAAAGGAAUUAAAUUACGUUGUAUUCACUUAAGAGGAAUUGUGCAAACCAGAAAUAAUAUAAUGUGUUUAUGAUAAAAAGAAAUAAUAAAUAAAAGUGCUUGGCAUGUGUUUGCGCUUAAGGAGAGAGGCAGAAACACAGACCGGGCGAAGACGCACAGGGAGAUGAAACCGAGAUACUGUUUCCACUUCUUCCUACGCUCGCUGUGAUAUGGUAAAUUAUUCGGGGCAGGGAGAAGUCAGCAGAAGGCAGGAAGACAAGGCAGGACAGGCCAGCAGAGGAUAAAAACACGAGAACGCGGUUUUGAAAACAGCCUUUCUCCAAGGCGAAGGCUGACUGACUCAGUGAACAGACUACCCUCCCGUAGAAGCUAAAGAUGACAUGAGUCGCAGAGGACCAUAAUUUGCAAAAAAAAAAAUCAUCGUAUGAAGUAAUUAAUGUAAGCAUGGGUAAGUUUCCAGGAUUAAGACUUUGAUCUGACAAGCAGAAGAAGUGGAGUAAGGCUGGCACGGGUGUGCUGUGGCCUUAAGACUUCAAAUGUUUUUCCAUGCUAGUCAAAAUUUAAUUACUUCUCCCCCACCCUCCGCCACUGACAGUUCCAAAUUAAAAUAAAUGGACCAUGUCGAGACAAAUCUCGGAUGCAUGUAGUGCUUGAGAAAAUGCUGCUGCUCGCCCAUGGACAGCCUGAGACUCUCCUAAUAAAUUCCCUUCCUUCUUCUUGGGAUGGUAAGGGAAUUGAGGGGCAGGGCUUGGUGUUGAAAUAAAGAAACAGGCUCGGAUCUAGUGUGUUUUGCAGGGUUGUUCCCACAGGAAUGCUCUUCUCCUAUAUGUUCUCUGUGCACUGAUCUUACAAGGUUUGGGGGAAGUGGGAUAGACAAAUGCCCUGUGGUCACCCAAUGUAUUAAGCUAAUUCCUUUCUAAGUGCAGGUAGAUUGGUUUUUACUUAGUGACAACCAUCAACUCUGUUAUAGAUUAAUGAGGGUUUGAUAGCCCAGUUGGACCUCGUACGGCCACACAUUUGCUAUCAUUGUAACAGAGGCGGCUCCUUGUCACCUGAGGCAAGGAAGCAAUUCACUCGACAUGAGUCUGUCCUCUUCAAGACGAGGCCUGGGGAGUCCCGGAGACCUGCCUUCUCAUCUCUGCAGCUCUGAAGCAUUUGCUGAGCAUUCCCACCUUCCCAAAACCCAUCGUUUAGAGAACUCGCUUGUCAUUGGCUUCUUGUUUUGAAGUCCCAGUUCCUGGUAUUUUCCUCAGACUCAUUGUACCUCUCAAGACUGAGUGGGAAAGUAUCAGGCAGGCACCAUGGCAGUAAACAGGAAGCCAGUGGCCCCUUGGAACCAUGAAUGCUGCCCUCUGUGUUUGGUCUUGGGAAGUAGAGAUAAGAAGGUACACAAAUUCGGUCAUGUGUCUGUGGCAAUUCAAACAAAUAAUGAGUCUCACAAAUAGGAAACCAUAAGCACUCAGACACACUGGAAUUAAUGAAGAACUCUUUUCCUAGUGAUGCCACUCUGGCUUGAGAAAAUUACCUGGAAGCUUCCGGUAGUCACAGCGAACCAACAGUGAGGAGCGUCUCUGCUGUUCUUGUCAUCAGUUCCUUCUCCAUCCAGAGCUGUUUCAGAAAAUCCGCUCUAGCCUCCUCCAACCUGUCUGUACAGAGGCCAAUUCUACCUUCAUGCUGAGGAUCAAAGCAAGAAUGGGGGAGAAGAAGCCGGACGGUUCCUCACAACUGGAGCCUUCCUUUUGUCCUUGCCUAGACUCCCGAGAAGGCAGGGAGCCACAGGUCCUUCCAUCCCUUGGCUUCUCAUUCCAUCCCUCACAAGCCACUGCCACCCUCCCCUGAGCUCUGAGAGCACAGCUUUGCAUGUCUUCACGACUGGCUGAGUCACCUUUGGACACCAGCAAGGCUGUACCAUGUCUGAGUCGAUCCUGCGUGCUUCUCCACAGGUCCCUUCAAUACACUCUGGAGCACCGCCGCUAUCAGCAGCACGGCAGUUCCUUCCAACUCUAGUGUGAGACACGGUCUGUCCCCAUACCUUUCUAGAAGACCUAGGUGACCUUGUUUCCAUCUAUUCAGUGGACAGUUUGCCUAGUCUUGUGGCAUUGUCAACGUAAUCCUAAAUGCUCUGACACUAGACCUCGAUGAAAACCAAGGUCUCUGUGCUUCGUCACAACAUUGGCUAAUCUCACGACUCCUUGUCUUCUCCCUCAUGUGUUGGGAAUUCUAGUAAUUUGUCCUUCUCUGUGGUUUCUGGAAUUACAGCAACAAUUUCUAAAUCAAAUAAGACAUACUAUGUUGAGAUUUUGACUACAUUCGUAUUGAAUUUAGAGAUUCAAUAUCGUUUCAUUUUUUUUUGUAAUGUUAGCCCAACGACCUAAAACCAUCCUUUCCGUGGACUUCCCAGCUUCCUCUCUGAGCUCUCUUCCGAGACAAUCUUCGAAAGCAUCGCUGUUGCGCCCUCCAUACCUGGGCACGCUGGGCACCCAGGAUCUUCUUUCUGACUCGUGAACCACAAUAAGGCUGUAAGACAGGAACUGAGCUCUUACCUCAUGGUGGAGCUAGCAGGACAGGGUGGAGGCAGUGGAGAUCAGGCAUGGCAGCCACUGAGGUGGCAGGGAGAUGCAGAUCAUGGGGCCAGGCUCGUGGGAUAUCACUAAGUUGGAUGGCCAGCAUGACCAGGUAGCAAGGACGCCAACACCUUAUCUUCACCAACCACUGCCCAUAAGAGCUAACAACAACAGGAAGAGAGCAGGAUACACGGAGAACUCUUAAAACACUGUCCUAAGACCCAACAGCUCUCUGCUAAGCCUAUAAAUGAUGAGUGUGUGGUGCUCACAGCCUCAGGCUGUCUGCCCUUACCCAGGCUGCAUGACUUUCCUUCCUCCAAAGCAGCAAGCCGUUCCUGCAAGCAAACGGCAAAUGUGGGACCUGGGUGUGCACCAGUGAAGAAGGUAUUGUUCGUGGUCACAGUAUCACCCGGAGACGCCUGGGAACCAAACAGCGAUGCUGGUUUGUAUAGAGGGAGCAGAGAUGCUGGUUUGUAUAGAGGGAGCAGAGAUGCUAGGGAGGCCUGUGGGAGGUAAGGGGGUGCCGAGCAAUGCAGGUUAUUUGGUUUUAUUUGUUAGCUUCCUGUCUAAACUGUUGGCUGCAAAAAUUCCCCAAUUACAUUACGUGUCAGGGAACCUUGAUACACCUUAUGAUAUCCCUGGCAGCGUCUAGCUUUACUUAGCUUUUAAGUUGCUUUCCCCAGAAAAGUUUUCUUCAUGGCCUGCAGCACCAUGUCAUUUUGAGGACCAAAAUCUACAGAGUUUGCACUGAGAGGGAGCACACGAAUAGAGAAAGUGACUCCAAGCAGCCUGAGUGAAGACAAGCCCUACAGUGAGCUCCUCUCGGUUCGAGUAUUUUAGAAUUGUUUCUACAAAGAAAAUG